rnacentral:rRNA from 1 species
UAAGAGUUUGAUCAUGGCUCAGGACGAACGCUGGCGGCGUGCCUAAUACAUGCAAGUCGAGCGGGGUUGAUUAGAAGCUUGCUUCUAAUCAAUCUAGCGGCGGACGGGUGAGUAACACGUAGGCAACCUGCCCACAAGACAGGGAUAACUACCGGAAACGGUAGCUAAUACCCGAUACAUCCUUUUCCUGCAUGGGAGAAGGAGGAAAGGCGGAGCAAUCUGUCACUUGUGGAUGGGCCUGCGGCGCAUUAGCUAGUUGGUGGGGUAAAGGCCUACCAAGGCGACGAUGCGUAGCCGACCUGAGAGGGUGAUCGGCCACACUGGGACUGAGACACGGCCCAGACUCCUACGGGAGGCAGCAGUAGGGAAUCUUCCGCAAUGGGCGAAAGCCUGACGGAGCAACGCCGCGUGAGUGAUGAAGGUUUUCGGAUCGUAAAGCUCUGUUGCCAGGGAAGAACGCUUGAGAGAGUAACUGCUCUUGAGGUGACGGUACCUGAGAA